UGGGGUGAGGGCAGGGGGGUGAUGCCGAAAGCUCAGUUUCUCUCUGCACCGGCGCCAAAUCAAAUCUCAGAGACAGAGUUUUGGGUGAAGUAGAAAAGGAGAGCUUUAUU